UUUUAGAUCUCUGUACCAAAACCAGAUAUCCGCAAUACCAAACAAUGUCUUUAAAGAAUUGCCAAAUUUAGAGACACUGUACAUCUAUAGCAAUAACAUAACUACAUUAGACAAAGACAUGUUCCUUGGACUUCCAAAAUUAAAGGCCCUGUCGGUGGACAGGAAUCCUCUGCAUUGUGAUUGCAUCUUAGCCGAUUUUGUCAGGUUUGCCCAAUCAAGAAACUUAAAGUUAGGACGUUUUUCUGAACCAAGAUGUACAACUCCCAGUAAUCUGACAGGAGUAUUGUUACGGGAUCUCUCCUCAGAGGAUAUGAAAUGUGACGUCACUAAAGCAACAACACCAGUAACGGAAACAUCAGGUAAAAUGAUUAUUUUUAUUCAAUAAAAAACAC